GACGAACGCUGGCGGCGUGCUUAACACAUGCAAGUCGAACGGAAAGGCCCUGCUUUUGUGGGGUGCUCGAGUGGCGAACGGGUGAGUAACACGUGAGUAACAUGCCCUUGACUUUGGGAUAACUUCAGGAAACUGGGGCUAAUACCGGAUAGGAGCUCCUGCUGCAUGGUGGGGGUUGGAAAGUUUCGGCGGUUGGGAUUGUACUCGCGGCUUAUCAGCUUGUUGGUGGGGUAGUGGCUUACCAAGGCUUUGACGGGUAGCCGGCCUGGAAGGGUGACCGGCCACAGUGUGCCUCGGGAGCGACCCGUACUCCACCGUGAGGCAGCGGGGGGGACUUUACCGAACUGGGCGGAGGCCUGGUGCAGCAUCUCCGGGUCGGGAAUCACGGCUUUCGGGUUGGAAACCGUUUUCGCCUGUGACUAAGCGUCGGUACCGUAAAUGGGUAAAAAGCCACCGCUAACUACGUG
rnacentral:rRNA from 1 species